UCCGAGUUGACCCCGGCAGUCUCCCAUGAGUCCCCGGCAUGAUCCGCUGGCAACAUGGGACGAGGGUUGCGCUCGUUGCGGGACUUAACCCAACAUCUCACGACACGAGCUGACGACAACCAUGCACCACCUGCACCCGGCCCUUACGGACCCACCGUCUCCGAUGGUUUUCCGGGCAUGUCAAGCCUUGGUAAGGUUCUUCGCGUUGCGUCGAAUUAAGCCACAUGCUCCGCCGCUUGUGCGGGCCCCCGUCAAUUCCUUUGAGUUUUAGCCUUGCGGCCGUACUCCCCAGGCGGGGCGCUUAAUGCGUUAGCUACGGCACGGAACCCGUGGAAAGGGUCCCACACCUAGCGCCCAACGUUUACGGCGUGGACUAC
rnacentral:misc_RNA from 1 species